rnacentral:rRNA from 1 species
UACGUAGGGUGCAAGCGUUAAUCGGAAUUACUGGGCGUAAAGCGUGCGCAGGCGGUUUGUUAAGACGGAUGUGAAAUCCCCGGGCUCAACCUGGGAACUGCAUUCGUGACUGGCAAGCUAGAGUUUGGCAGAGGGGGGUGGAAUUCCACGUGUAGCAGUGAAAUGCGUAGAGAUGUGGAGGAACACCGAUGGCGAAGGCAGCCCCCUGGGCCAAAACUGACGCUCAGGCACGAAAGCGUGGGGAGCAAACAGG